AUCUCUCCCUGCACCAGUCCAAGCCAUCAGUCUUUGCAAACCGGUCAAAUGUCCCCUGUCAUUUGCAUUCCAGAGGCAGCAGGGAAGGUCAACCUUGUCCCAGGAAAGUCAGGGGUAGAGAGGCAGAAGUCUCAGAAGGGGAAAGUGGAAGACACUUAAGCCUUGUAAACACCGGCGAUGCCAGCCUGCCUCGAGCUGCCCCCAAUCCCGUCUGUUUUCUGUAGCACGGAUGGCAUCAAGUGCGAGGACAGGCCCCUCAGCAUCUCCACCGUGGGAAAGUUCAUCUCCCCCUGGGUGUUCUGCUGCUGUGAACCUUUGAGAUAUUUUCUGAGAAGAACCUGCAUUUCUACAGAUGGCAUGGAAAAAAAAAAAUGAAGGCUGCAGAACACACCAUUAUUCCUGAGAGCCUCUCAGUUCAUUAGUUGAAGCAGCCAAGUCUUCACGAGCCACAACUGAUCAGCAAAUGGGAAAUGAGCGAGAGUAUAAAUUCCCAGCAAACCAAAUCAUUAACAUUUGCUGCCUGCAUCCUGGAAACACAGUAAAUCAAAUGUGUCAUCAUUUAUCAAGACAAAAUAUCAUUACUAAUUGGGAUU